UAUCAUGCAACUUCACUGCAGCCUUGGUUCUGAACACAAAACUGGGCACUUUGCUCUCAGGCCAUGCUACAUCAAGAAACACUGCUGAAACCAAAAAGGAGUUGCAGAGAAAGUUUAAGAAGCUCCGGUAUAAACAAUGUCAAGCACAUGUGUGACUUAUGACUGGAAAAGAGGGAUGGUCCCAGUGGCCCGGUCCAGACAAAGAAUUUUUAGAUCUAAAUUUUCAAACUGUGAAAAUAAUUUUGGUCACCUUGAGUCAUCAUCUGAGGAAGAAAAUGAGUCUCUUAGUUUUAUAAGACAAGACACUUCAACUCCAGAUCAAAGUGAAGAUUCAAGCAGUUCUGAAGAAGAAGAGGAGGAAGAAGAGGAGGAAGAAGAAUGGAAAAGUGAAGAGAAAAGUGACAGUGACAGUGACAAUUCCAGGUA